rnacentral:rRNA from 1 species
AACGAACGCUGGCGGCGUGCUUAACACAUGCAAGUCGUACGAGAAAUCCCGGGCAACUGGGAGAGUAAAGUGGCGCACGGGUGAGUAACGCGUGGGUAACCUACCCUUGAAUUGGGGGAUAACUCCGCGAAAGCGGGGCUAAUACCGAAUAAUAUUUUGAGGUCUCCGGACCUUAAAUCAAAGAUGGCCUCUGCAUGCAAGCUAUCGUUUAAGGAUGGGGCCCGCGUACCAUUAGCUUGUUGGUAGGGUAAUGGUCUACCAAGGCAACGAUGGUUAGCUGGUCUAAGAGGAUGGCCAGCCACACUGGAACUGAGAUACGGUCCAGACUCCUACGGAGGCAGCAGUGGGGAAUCUUGCGCAAUGGGGGAAACCCUGACGCAGCAACGCCGCGUGGGUGAUGAAGGCCUUCGGGUCGUAAAGCCCUGUCAGGUGGGAAGAACCUCGUCGGUGCCAAUAUCACCGACGCUUGACGGUACCACCGGAGGAAGCACCGGCUAACUCCGUGCCAGCAGCCGCGGUAA